rnacentral:rRNA from 1 species
GGUGAACGCUGGCGGCGUGCCUAAGACAUGCAAGUCGAGCGGGCCGCGGGGUUUUACUCCGUGGUCAGCGGCGGACGGGUGAGUAACGCGUGGGUGACCUACCCGGAAGAGGGGGACAACCCGGGGAAACUCGGGCUAAUCCCCCAUGUGGACCCGCCCCUUGGGGUGUGUCCAAAGGGCUUUGCCCGCUUCCGGAUGGGCCCGCGUCCCAUCCGCUAGUUGGUGGGGUAAUGGCCCACCAAGGCGACGACGGGUAGCCGGCCUGAGAGGGUGGCCGGCCAAAGGGGCACUGAGACACGGGGCACACGCCUACGGGAGGAAGGAGUUAGGAAGCUUGCGCAAUGGGCGCAAGCCUGACGGAGCGAAGCAGCUUGGAGGAAGAAGCCCUUCGGGGUGUAAAGUCCUGAACCCGGGACGAAACCCCCGACGAGGGGACUGACGGUACCGGGGUAAUAGCGCCGGCCAACUCCGUG